rnacentral:misc_RNA from 1 species
GCAAACUUGGUCAUUUAGAGGAAGUAAAAGUCGUAACAAGGUUUCCGUAGGUGAACCUGCGGAAGGAUCAUUAAUAGAGGUGUGGUUAGAUUAUGCAGAAUGCUUUGGCAUACUGUGUAGCUGAAGCCAUGCAUGAUACUUGCUCUCGCAAGAGAGUGAGCAAACAUUAACUAGAACUAUUGACAUUAAAAUUUUCAAUUAAUAUUACUUUUAACAACGGAUCUCUGGGCUCCCGCAUCGAUGAAGAACGCAGC